rnacentral:misc_RNA from 1 species
GAUGAAGAACGUACCGAAAUGCGAUAAGUAAUGUGAAUUGCAGAAUUCAGUGAAUCAUCGAAUCUUUGAACGCACAUUGCGCCCGCCAGUAUUCUGGCGGGCAUGCCUGUCUGAGCGUCAUUUCAACCCUCAUGCCCCUAGGGCGUGGUGUUGGGGAUCGGCCAAAGCCCGCGAGGGACGGCCGGCCCCUAAAUCUAGUGGCGGACCCGUCGUGGCCUCCUCUGCGAAGUAGUGAUAUUCCGCAUCGGAGAGCGAUGAGCCCCUGCCGUUAAACCCCCAACUUUCCAAGGUUGACCUCAGAUCAGGUAGGAAUACCCGCUGAACUUAAGCAUAUCAAUAAGCGGAGGA